rnacentral:rRNA from 1 species
AGAAUCAGGGUUCGAUUCCGGAGAAGGAGCUUGAGAAUUGGCUACUACAUCUAAGGAAGGCAGCAGGCGCGCAAAUUACCCAAUCCCGAUUCGGGGGGGUAGUGACAAAAAAUAACAGUACCGGGCCUUUUUGGGCUUGGUAAUUGGAAUGAGGGAGAGUUAAACGGACCAUCGAGUAUCCAUUGGAGGGCAAGUCUGACGCCAGCAGCUGCGGUAAUACCAGCUCCAAUAGCGUAUAUUAAAGUCGUUGCAGUUAAAAAGCUCUUAGUUGGACUUGUGUGCGCUGUCUGCGGGUGGCCUGCGCCCAAAAGGGCGUUUCGGUUCGGCCCCGGUGGCGCCUUGAAAUCUGCAGCUGGGGGGACGUUGGCCUUAACUGGUCGGCGACCGCACGCCGGCUGCUCGGUUACUGUGAGAAAAUUAGAGUGUUCAAGGCAGGCAUUGGGUGCAAUUGAAUACAUUAGCAUGGAAUAAUAAAAUAUGGCUCAUGCCGUAUUUUGUUGGUUUUGACUGGUGGGAGUAAUGAUUGAUAGGGACGGUUGGGGGUGCUAGUAUUGAGCGGCCAGAGGUGAAAUUCAUGGAUUCGCUCAAGACUAACUUAUGCGAAGGCAUUCACCAAGGACGUCCUCUUUAAUCAAGAACGAAAGUUGGGGGAUCGAAGACGAUCAGAUACCGUCGUAGUCUCAACCAUAAACUAUGUCGACUUGGGAUCGGCGGUAGUUUUUUCAUUAAGACACUGUUGGGACCACGGGAGAAAUCAAAGUGUCUGGACUCUGGGGGAAGUAUGGUCGCAAGGCUGAAACUUGAAGGAAUUGACGGAAGGGCACCACCAGGAGUGGAGCCUGCGGCUUAAUUUGACCCAACACGGGGAAACUUACCAGGUCCAGAGAUGUAGAGGAUUGACAGAUUGAAGCUCUUUCUUGAUCACUUCGGUGGUGGUGCAUGGCCGUUCUUAGUUGGUGGAGUGAUUUGUCUGGUUAAUUCCGUUAACGAACGAGACCUCAGCCUGCUAGUGUAGUCGGCUGGAUUGCCUUUGGCGAUCCGUGAUUUCGACUUCUUAGAGGGACAAUCGACGCGCAGUCGAUGGAAGUUUGAGGCAAUAACAGGUCUGUGAUGCCCUUAGACGUUCUGGGCCGCACGCGCGCUGCACUGCUGGGCUCAGCGAGUUUUACUUGGCCGAGAGGCCCGGUUAAUCUUGUGAAAUCCCAGCGUGCUUGGGCUCGCCUCCUGCAACUGGAGGCGCCAACGAGGAAUUCCUAGUAGACGCAGGUCAUCAACCUGCAUCGAUUACGUCCCUGCCCUUUGUACACACCGCCCGUCGUUCCGUAAGAGUGAGGCAUCCGGUGAAUUCUCGGGAGAGCCUGGGCGUGGCCAGCAAUGGUCUGCUCGGGUUUGAACUUGCAUAAACUUGGUGCCUAUGAUUAGGGAAAAGUCGUAACAAGGUU